GCACAAUGAUACCAACUUUGAUAUCACCUUUAAUUUAACAGGAAAAUCAACAAUGUAUGCCGAAGCUUUCCUCAACCAAUUAAAGAAAACUUGGGCUAUUUUGUGGAUUUCGUGGUCAUCGAGGUGCAGACGAAAGGAACUCAAUAAAGUAGUUGAAGUAGCUAGAAAAAUUACAGUUAGCAGGAAUAUAUUUCUUUGGAUUGUAAAAAAUGUUUUCGAAUAACUGUUAUAUCAAAAUUUAUUGUUUGUUUUGAAGGGCGUCUCACCCCAGAUAAAGUGUGCGAGAUUUUGGGGAUUCUGAAAAUCCGGCUGUGUGAUUUCUCGUAACUGUUGGUGAUUGUAGAGUUAGUUUGUUGGUGUUAGAGUGUAUAGCUCUAGGUAUAUAAUUCGAUUCGUCCAUUAAACUUAUAUGUUGUUAUGCAAGAGGUAAAUAUAAUUUGAUCAAUAAAUCGCAGUAAACGCACAGUUGGUAUACUUCUAUAUUUAUACAAUAAUUAUAAUUUAAAUAUGUAUACAUAUAUACGCAUGUAAGUAUACUAAUUCUAAAACUAUGAACUAUGAAUUAAGAUGUUUAGAACUUGCAAUUAAGAAUGUGUUGAUAUAUCUAUAUUUGUCU